rfam:Poecilia formosa, whole genome shotgun sequence.
UAUUUAUCAGUGGCAGUGCCCACUAUAUUUA